UACAGAGGCCCCAAGCAUUAUCCGGAUUCACUGGGCGUAAAGGGUGCGUAGGCGGCUAUAUUAGUCAGGUGUUAAAUCCUCGGGCUUAACCCGAGAAUCGCAUUUGAAACGGUAUAGCUAGAAGAAGUGAGAGGUAAACAGAACUCUCGGUGUAGGGGUGAAAUCCGUUGAUAUCGAGGGGAAUACCAAAUGCGAAGGCAGUUUACUGGCACUUUCUUGACGCUGAGGCACGAAAGCGUGGGUAGCGAACGGG
rnacentral:rRNA from 1 species